UCAGGAGUUGGUUGACUACUUGUCCCUACUGGCCAUUGUUGUGAUACAAUUGUAGACCAACUGUUUUCUCCUGGGUAGGGAAGAGAAGAUAUACCCCUCACUUUGAAACUUCUCCUUAGCAUGUAUGGAGGAUAAGUAUUAUUCUGUGAUAUGGAACCUUCUAACUGGUUGUCCAUGGUGUUGAAAUCCAGCAGCAUUUCUGGUUGAUCUUGCCGAGCAAUUGGGAAUUCAAGUUGCUGCAGAUUGCGAUUUGAACCAUUGAAUGACUCUGGUGGUAGCCAUGUCAAGGACCUUGUAGGGCCAAAAAUGGAUUGAGCAUCGGUCGGGAUAAAUGCAUCCACAUUCUUAUAAGCUUGUUGCCUUAAACUUUCCACAUGGGCCUUUUCAGAAGGAGCUAGUGCAUCCAGAGGCUCAUACGUCUGGCCAUCAAAUGCUGCUCCCAUGAGCUUGUGCACGGAAUUGAAAAGAAGCCAAGUUCCUGCUUCAAAGUAAGUGUAUACCUUAUCAUCUAAAACACAAUUAUUUGCAUGGUUUAUAAUUAUAUGCCAUAUCUUGUUUGAAAUUCCAUCUCCAAGCACCAUUCGCAGUUCAGAUGGAUUUCGUGCAUGUGCCUGCAGAAAGUCCCUCACAGUAUG
rnacentral:misc_RNA from 1 species